rnacentral:rRNA from 1 species
CCUACGGGUGGCUGCAGUGGGGAAUAUUGGACAAUGGGGGCAACCCUGAUCCAGCCAUGCCGCGUGUGUGAAGAAGGCCCUCGGGUUGUAAAGCACUUUCAGUGAGGAAGAACGCCUGGUGGUUAAUACCCAUCAGGAAAGACAUCACUCACAGAAGAAGCACCGGCUAACUCCGUGCCAGCAGCCGCGGUAAUACGGAGGGUGCGAGCGUUAAUCGGAAUUACUGGGCGUAAAGCGCGCGUAGGUGGCUUGAUAAGCCGGUUGUGAAAGCCCCGGGCUCAACCUGGGAACGGCAUCCGGAACUGUCAAGCUAGAGUGCAGGAGAGGAAGGUAGAGUUCCCGGUGUAGCGGUGAAAUGCGUAGAGAUCGGGAGGAAUACCAGUGGCGAAGGCGGCCUUCUGGACUGACACUGACACUGAGGUGCGAAAGCGUGGGUAGCAAACAGGAUUAGAUACCCCAGUAGUC